rnacentral:piRNA from 1 species
ACACACAAAAUAGUGUUUCAAAAGUUGUC